GCUGGUGACACAAUAGUUAAGUGCUUGGCUCCUAACCAAAAGUCGGUGGUUCAAACCCACCCAGUGGCU
rnacentral:tRNA from 1 species